AACACUGAGUUUAUGUGGAAACGCAGGCCUAGAGAGAUCUGACGGCUCAAGAUAGCAAACACGCUGAUCCUGGAGAAAAGGAUGUUUUCCUGAUUCGCAGAACCAUUUUAGAGCAUUUUUCUUACUACACUGGAAAGAGAACCUGUCAUCUCCUUGGAAAAUGAUUAUCUUAUAUGUUCUCAGAUUAUAUGUUCCUAGAAUGAACCUGCUUUCUUCGUCUCAACUACAGGAAAUCUUAACAUCAUUGUGUUUUGUUUUUUUAUAAACAGAGAUUUUAUUCUUUUCAUGUCAA